rnacentral:rRNA from 1 species
GUCCUACGGGGGGCAGCAGUGGGGAAUAUUGCACAAUGGGGGAAACCCUGAUGCAGCGACGCCGCGUGAGUGAAGAAGUAUUUCGGUAUGUAAAGCUCUAUCAGCAGGGAAGAUAAUGACGGUACCUGACUAAGAAGCCCCGGCUAACUACGUGCCAGCAGCCGCGGUAAUACGGAGGAUGCGAGCGUUAUCCGGAUUUAUUGGGUUUAAAGGGUGCGUAGGCGGGCUGUUAAGUCAGCGGUAAAAGCCCGGGGCUCAACCCCGGCGAGCCGUUGAAACUGGCUGUCUU